rnacentral:misc_RNA from 1 species
AAGUCGUAACAAGGUUUCCGUAGGUGAACCUGCGGAAGGAUCAUUACCACAUCCAAAAAACCCAAAACCCACCCGUGUGCACUGUGUAUUUUCAUUAUCCCCUUCUUCUUCUUCUCCUUUGUCGUCUCUUGGGGUUUGCCGCCGCUGGCGUGCGCGUCAAGAAAGAGGCAAGAAAGAAAGGAAAAAGGGGAUAUUGAGUUACAAUAAACCUUUUUAUUUUAACAAGAAAUAUACCCAACAAAAACCAAAAAACAUACGAAACAAUGAGAGACAACUUUUAACGAUGGAUCUCUUGGCUCGU